UACUUUGUAGCUUAUAUAAAGCACCGCUUUGAAGAGGCGCUGAAACGUUUAGUCGAGGUAA
rnacentral:tRNA from 1 species